CUCAUCGUUCGUAGAGGUGAUGCUUGUCCUCGAACAUUUGCACCGCUUUUUAGGAGUUCAAGUUCAGCCUCCUUCUUCUCCAGUACUUGCUUAAGGUUCGAGAUCUAAAUCAACCAGAAAAACACAAAGACGAUCAAUUACAGAUUUUGCUGCACCAAGAUCGAUGGAGGCAACCCUCUCAGCAAAUUUGAGUGUGCUAACUGUUUCUCCAAAUGCAUCUGCCUCUGGAUUUAUGUGCACGAACAUCAACGUCUUUGCCUGACCGCCUGUGAAGGAGUACACAGAAGGUACCUGUGAGACCUGCUGCUACGCUCAUUUAAAGCAGUAGCACCGACAGCACGGUUCUUUUGCCCAAUUCUCAUCAAAUCAAGAACAUCUUGAGUGCAUGUAACUGGAAUCAGACUAGCGUCAGGUUACAACGUAAUAAGGACUUCCUGUUUUCAGAUAAACUACACAGUCUUACCUACCAUUGAAUUCAUAGGUAAGUCCUCAACUCCAUUGCUCUCCAUAAGAUAAGCCUGUAGAAGCCCGAGACCAAAGCGAUCAAAGAGGAAGGUCAGUAUAUUGGCAGCAUUUGAUUCUUCAAGCGAGACCUCGCCAGAUAAAUGGAGAAAUUCCAACAGCUGGUCGAAUUGUGAUGACUCGGAGUCAUCCACUGACUCAUCUGCAUCACUACCACCAAAUGAGGACGGUGAUCCUUUGGGACAAGAUGUGAUCCUGACAGUUCCACCAUACUUCCAAACUCCAAUUCCUCCAGCUUGUUUCCAUUCAUAAUAUCCUUUAAGGCACAAAAUGCAGUCUACAACUUUGUUUGAUGAACCACCCUACAAGUUCAAAACCUUUGCUCAAUACGAUGUACCUUGGAAAAACAAUGCGAAACAUAAUUGCAUAUAGUCCGAGCCAAUGUGAACAAACUGAUGAAUCUAACCUUUUCAAGAUCAGAUGCUUCGAAUGUUAAAAGCUGCAUUUUGCCAACAGCUACAAGGAAAUUCCUCAUGUUCUCGAAGUAUUGAAUAGCAGACUGGGCUGCACAUUCCGAGGACAUAUCGACCACUGAAUUGACCACCACCUAUAUCUCAGAGAAUGAGGCCAUUGCGAAGAGCACAACGGAAUUCUUCUUCGCUCGGUUCUUUUGGGAGUACCUCCGAUGCACCAGAGUCUAUCUGUAUCAGCCAUUCCGCCGCCUGGUACCUCCUUGCAGCUGCAAGUUAGUUCCUAGUUUUAGUCGGUAAAUUUAGAAGCAAAAUUAACAAUGUCAUGUGCCUCAUGCAUGGUGUAUCUACUAACGUAUGUUCCUAUGUUCCUAUGUUGCCUGGUCGUCCUUCAAGGGCUACCGCUAUACACGGUGUCCGGGGAAGGGCCCCACCACACAAGGGUGUAUUGUACGUAGCCUUACCUUGCAUUUCUGUCAAAGGUUGUUUCCAAGGCCUUGAACCCAUGACCUAGUCACAUGGCAGCAACUUUACUAGUUGCCUGUUCGUCCUUCCUCAAGAAUAUUUAGUGUAUUAUUUGUGAUCCGGUUACCGACUUACCGUAUUUUUUGUAUCUCUA